AGUGGGAUAACUGGGUCAAAUGGUGGUUUCAUUCCAAUUUUCCAAGGAAUCUCCAUACUGUUUUUUAGAUUGGCUGCACCAAUUUGCAAUCCCACCAGCAAU
rnacentral:pre_miRNA from 1 species